AUUGAACGCUGGCGGCAGGCCUAACACAUGCAAGUCGAGCGGAUGAAGGGAGCUUGCUCCUGGAUUCAGCGGCGGACGGGUGAGUAAUGCCUAGGAAUCUGCCUGGUAGUGGGGGAUAACGUCCGGAAACGGGCGCUAAUACCGCAUACGUCCUGAGGGAGAAAGUGGGGGAUCUUCGGACCUCACGCUAUCACAUGAGCCUAGGUCGGAUUAGCUAGUUGGUGGGGUAAAGGCCUACCAAGGCGACGAUCCGUAACUGGUCUGAGAGGAUGAUCAGUCACACUGGAACUGAGACACGGUCCAGACUCCUACGGGAGGCAGCAGUGGGGAAUAUUGGACAAUGGGCGAAAGCCUGAUCCAGCCAUGCCGCGUGUGUGAAGAAGGUCUUCGGGUUGUAAAGCACUUUAAGUUGGGAAGAAAGGCAGUAAGUUAAUACCCUGCUGUUUUGACGGUACCAACAGAAUAAGCACCGGCUAACUUCGUG
rnacentral:rRNA from 1 species